rnacentral:rRNA from 1 species
CACGUGGGAGGCGAGCGUUGUCCGGAUUCAUUGGGCGUAAAGAGCGCGCAGGCGGUCCUUUAAGUCUGAUGUGAAAGCCCACGGCUCAACCGUGGAGGGUCAUUGGAAACUGGGGGACUUGAGUACAGAAGAGAAGAGUGGAAUUCCACGUGUAGCGGUGAAAUGCGUAGAGAUGUGGAGGAACACCAGUGGCGAAGGCGACUCUUUGGUCUGUAACUGACGCUGAGGCGCGAAAGCGUGGGGAGCAAACAGG